rnacentral:rRNA from 1 species
GACAGGGGAUGCAAGCGUUACUCGGAAUUACUGGGCGUAAAGCGUCUGCAGGCGUCUUGCCACGUCUGGUGUAAAAGCACGGAGCCUAACUCCGUGUACGUGCCGGAAACGAGCGAGAUUGAGUCACAAAGAGGUAUCUGGAAUGUCGUGUGUAGGGGUAAAAUCCGUAGAUCCACGAUGGAAUGCCGAAAGCGUAAGCAGGAUACUGGUUGUGCACUGACGCUCAGAGACGAAAGCGUGGGGAGCAAAGGGG